rnacentral:lncRNA from 1 species
CCAGCCCUGGGCUUUGUCUCAAGUAACAGUAAAAGUAUCAAGCAUGAAUGCUGUCUUGUAGGGAGGGCUUUAAAUCAAACCAGAAAGUUGUUGGUUAUUGCCUCCAAAGCAACGGGGGCCUCUUGAUCUCAGGUUAAAGCCGAAUUAUAACUUAGGAUUUGUUGUCUGUUUCUGUCUUCAAGGAAAGACUGUAGAGGUUUGGUACAGCUUAUCCUUAAGUGUUUGAGAAAAUUCACUGCUAAGCCCACUUCUUCCUGUUGCUGAUUGGCUGCCUGUUAAUUACUGAUUCCAGACAGCUUACAUCAUCUGCUCCCUUUUGCGUGACAAGGUUGUAAACGUUUGUCUUUCAAGAAGUUGGUCCGUUUCACUUAAGCUGCCUGUGGUGGUUUGGAUGAGAAUGGCCCACAUUGGUACAUCUGCUACAAUACUUGGUCCCCAGUUUGUGGGACUGUUUGGAAAAAUUAAGGAGGUGUGGCCUCGGGCUGGAGAGGUGGCUCAGCGGUUAAGAACACUGACUGCUCUUCCAGAGGUCCUGAGUUCAAUUCCCAGCAACCACAUGGUGGCUCACAACCAUCUGUAAUGGGAUCCGAUGCCCUCUUCUGGUGUGUCUGAAGACCGCUACAGUGUGCUCAUAUACAUAAAAUAAAUUAAUAAUUUUUUAAAAGGA